GUCGUGCAAACAACUAGAAAAUACUUUAUUAAACAAUAAAAUACUGUACAUAAAUAAUCAAGUUACAAAAAAUUCAUCGCAAGCUUCUUCGUGUGCAUGUAUAGAAAAGUAAAAAUUGUUUAUUAAAUAAUACUAUGCUCCAGAGCCGUUUGUAUCUAUCUUUCUAUUAUAGUUAAUUUGAAAACCUCGUGUAUCAGUGUAUGUGAUAUUUAUAAUUAAUAAAUAUUUAUAAUAUAGCAUUUGUAAAUUCUGAACGCUGAUUGGCUAAGAGCCGUUUUGACAUACACUGUAACGGAAUGUCAACACGGAAA